rnacentral:rRNA from 1 species
GGUGAAGCCAAGCUUGCUUGGUGGAUCAGUGGCGAACGGGUGAGUAACACGUGAGCAACCUGCCCUGAACUCUGGGAUAAGCGCUGGAAACGGUGUCUAAUACUGGAUAUGAGCUGCGGAGGCAUCUUCGUGGUUGGAAAGAUUUUUCGGUUUGGGAUGGGCUCGCGGCCUAUCAGCUUGUUGGUGAGGUAAUGGCUCACCAAGGCGUCGACGGGUAGCCGGCCUGAGAGGGUGACCGGCCACACUGGGACUGAGACACGGCCCAGACUCCUACGGGAGGCAGCAGUGGGGAAUAUUGCACAAUGGGCGGAAGCCUGAUGCAGCAACGCCGCGUGAGGGAUGACGGCCUUCGGGUUGUAAACCUCUUUUAGCAGGGAAGAAGCGUGAGUGACGGUACCUGCAGAAAAAGCGCCGGCUAACUACGUGCCAGCAGCCGCGGUAAUACGUAGGGCGCAAGCGUUAUCCGGAAUUAUUGGGCGUAAAGAGCUCGUAGGCGGUUUGUCGCGUCUGCUGUGAAAUCUGGGGGCUCAACCCCCAGCCUGCAGUGGGUACGGGCAGACUAGAGUGCGGUAGGGGAGAUUGGAAUUCCUGGUGUAGCGGUGGAAUGCGCAGAUAUCAGGAGGAACACCGAUGGCGAAGGCAGAUCUCUGGGCCGUAACUGACGCUGAGGAGCGAAAGGGUGGGGAGCAAACAGGCUUAGAUACCCUGGUAGUCCACCCCGUAAACGUUGGGAACUAGUUGUGGGGUCCAUUCCACGGAUUCCGUGACGCA